rnacentral:lncRNA from 1 species
ACCCCGCCCCUUGCAGUGCUGGGGAAAACCUUCUCUGCAGACGUCGGGAGAGCAGGAACACAUGUUUUCUAGUACUAAUGUCUAAUACAGGGCUGCAAUUGUUGGGUGUGCUCUAUCCGAAAGUUGAGAACUGGGUCUAUGAGAAUAAUAAUGAAAGACCAGAAUGAAGAUAAGACAUCCUUUACAGCUUCUUCCAAUUCUUCCUUAUUAUAAACAGCCCUGAAGGUGUGUCCUAUUUUUGGAUUAUAAUAUUAAGUCAAAUUUUCAGAUUUGGUUUCUUGGAUCAAAAAUAAUGAAUGUUUUGUCUCCUGUCUUAAAAUUCCUUCUAGGAAUUCCCGUUGUGACACAGCAGAUUAAGAACCCAACAUAGUGUCCAUGAGGAUUUGGAUUUGAUCCCUGGCCUCGCUCAGUGGGUUAAGGAUCCAGCAUUGCCACAAGUUGUGGGGUAGGUCACAGAUGCAGCUCAGAUCCAUUGUUGCCAUGCUGUGGCAUAAGCCAGCAGCUGAAGCUCUGAUUUGACUCCUAGCCUGGGAACCUCCAUAUGCUGUGGGUGCGGCCCUAAAGAGACACACACACAAAAAAACCUUAUUUGUAUUCCUGCUUUAAAUAUAAUUUCAUUGGAAUGGAUUCGCAAUGAGAUCCUGCUGUGUGGCACUGGGAACAAUGUCUAGUCACUUAUGAUGGAGCAUGAUAAUAUGAGAAAAAAGAAUCUAUACAUGUAUGUGUAACUGGGUCAACAUGCUGUACAGUAGAAAAAAAUUGUAUGGGAAAAUAACAAUUAAAAAAGAAAUAUAAAUAUUUUAAAAAUUCAUCUCUCUGUAAAAGAAAAAAAUAAUUUCGCCUUCCAAUUAUUCAUUUAACAUUUUUCCACAUAAUUAAACAGUUUU